UAAAGUGUGGAUCAGUCACACUGCUCAUCAUAAGGAUGUGUCUGGCAUGUGGACUGUGUGUAUUCUACAUUUUAUAUUUAGGUGCAGAAUCUGUGACGGUUCAACAAAAGACCUCGAUACUGUUCGCCAAAGAAACGGACACCGCAACCAUCGAGUGCAGCCACGAUGACAAAAGCUAUUACACCACGCUGUGGUAUCAGCAGAAGAGGGACAGCACGGCUAUGGAUCUGAUUGGCUUCAGUGUUAGCACUAAUAAACCAAACUAUGAAGACGGGUUUGAUAAAAGGUUCAAACUGAGCAAAGACGGAGAUCUGAAAGGAGAACUGACCAUCUCGAAUCUUCUUCAGUCUGAUUCUGCAGUGUAUUACUGUGCUGUAAGCAAGCACAGUGCUGCAUGAUCAUAUGAGUGCUGUAUUAAAACCUCACCUCACCAAACACACAGCAGCACACACACUCAGGUAUGAUGAAAGAGGUGUUUAUGAGCCCCAUUUUACAGA